CACUCCCCGAUGUGUUGCAUGGUUGUCGUCAGCUCGUGCCGUGAGGUGUCGGCUUAAGUGCCAUAACGAGCGCAACCCCCGCGUGCAGUUGCUAACAGGUGGCGCUGAGGACUCUGCACGGACUGCCGGCGCAAGCCGCGAGGAAGGCGGGGAUGACGUCAAAUCAGCACGGCCCUUACGUCCGGGGCGACACACGUGUUACAAUGGGUGGUACAGCGGGAAGCCAGGCGGCGACGCCGAGCGGAACCCGAAAUCCACUCUCAGUUCGGAUCGGAGUCUGCAACCCGACUCCGUGAAGCUGGAUUCGCUAGUAAUCGCGCAUCAGCCAUGGCGCGGUGAAUACGUUCCCGGGCCUUGUACACACCGCCCGUCAAGCCAUGGGAGCCGAGGGCGCUUGAAGUGCGUCGCCGCGAGGCGCGCCCUAGAGCGAAAUCGGUGACUGGGGCUAAGUCGUAACAAGGUAGCCGUAAGGGCGAAU
rnacentral:rRNA from 1 species